rnacentral:lncRNA from 1 species
AAAAAAAGCACUCUAGCUCCCAGACAACUCUCGGCUCUCUCCCUCGCAGAACAAAAAAAAACAUACAGAAAAAAAAGAGAAGGGAGGCACUCGGCUCUCUCUAGUUUCAGGAGACCAAAAAGACAAGCCACAAAAAGAAAAAAAAAGCACUCCAAUCCCUCUGGGCUCACUUGGCAGAGGCAGAAAAAAAAAAAAAAGAAACGCACAAGAGAAGAGGAAGGGAAGCUCUCGGAAUUUUGCAGCCUGCCCCCUCACUCUCCCUCUCUCGGACUUGGGCGGAGGAAAGAAACAGAACAAAAAAAAAAUCUUCCCCAACUCCUCUCGGUUCCAUCUCAACCUCACACACACCUACAUUGAGGUAAUUUUUUAGUUUUUGUCUAGCACAUUAAAUCAAUGCUUCAUUGUUUAGUUUUCUUUCAUUUCUGCUGGCUGCCUUGUAUUGUUGUUGUUGCAUUGCUGAAAAUUGGGAAAUGGCAUGAACUAGAUGAAGGAAAAGGAAAUGAUGUCUGUGAAUGCAUAUUAAUUGUUUGAAAAAAUGCCAAAAAGAUUUUUAGGGACUGUUUUGCCUUAAUGUAGUCUUCUGUUAUUGUUUUCUGGUUAGUUAAAAUCAUAGUUGUAUUGUAGAGGUUAUGAGGAGUAUUGUAAUAUAUUUUUUAUGAUUUUUGGUGAAAGAUUUGGGUGUUUUAAAAAAUAAAAACUGGACUGUAUUUUGACAUUUUGGCCACUUUCAGAUCAUCUUUUGUAAAAACUAACUCCGAAAAUGGAGUCUACGCGAAAAAUCGAGUGAGGGGGUGUAUUUUG